UUCUUUGAAGAUUUUUCCAGCACAAGUUGUUGGACCCUCCACAGCAAAGGUUGGGGAAAAUGUAGAGUUAACGUGCGGCAUCUCUAACAUUCAGAGCUCAAAUGCAGAUGCUGUCAUGUAUUUGGUUAAAAAUGGAGUUGGAGAGAGAUUAGAAAUACUUGGAAAUAAAGAUGAGCACACCUUCACUUUAAGGAAUAUUUCAUUACUGGACUCUGGUACCUACAGCUGCGUGUACUCAUUUACAGGAUAUCCUCCGAAAAACGUCAAAGAAUCAGGAAUGAACUCAAUCCACGUACAAGUCACAGAGCCAAGAUAUGAAGUUAUACUCGCUGAAACAUAUGAUCCAGUGCGGAAGAGAAAUAUUUUACGAUUAGUAUUCUCG